CACCACCCGUCUCUACUACCGAUUGAAUGGUUUAGUGAGGUUGUUGGAUUGAUAUCGUUGUAGUGGCUUUGCUUUUCAAGUGAUGCUGAGAAGAUGGUCUAAUUUGACUAGUUAGAGGAAAUAAAAUUCGUUAAAAGGUUUACGUAGGUGAACCUGUGGAAA
rnacentral:ncRNA from 1 species